CUUACUUUAGCACAUCAUUCCCCAUCUUUUCUCAUUUUGGGGUCUUCUCUGUUUUUAAGAAAGAAAUCUAAAAUGUCACAUUUCUAGCUCCCUUUUUCCUUCCCAUAACUCAUUUUCUCAGUUUGGAAUACAUUGUCAGUUUUUUGCAGGAGUGAAUAUAGUUGCCGAAGAUAAAAGUUGUUUUGACAAUUUAGUAAUGGUUUUUGCACUAUAAGUGAUAUUAUUUUCUUUCUUUUCUUUUCUUUUUUUUUUUUUUUAGAUGGAGUCUUGCUCUGUCACCAGGCAAUCAUUAAUGAUAUUGGUUGUAAUUUUAGAGUUAUAAAAAAAAUAAGAAAAUGGGGAGAAAGAAAAGGGGGAAACAGGAAGAAGAUAAAGGAGAGAACAGAAAAAGAAGGAAAGAAGAAAGGCAGGAAAGCAGGAAGGAAGCAGCAAGGGAGGAAGAGAAGGAGGAAGACAGACAAUCACAAAGCAGACUUUUCAGCAUCUGGAUUCACAGCAAUAAGGAAUUACCAAUGGCAAUGCUAAGGAAAGAUGGCUGGCUAGAUUACUGCCAACAGGCUCUUCACUGAAAAAAAAAAGAAAGAAAAAGAAAAAAGAGAGAAACACUGAGCUGUUUGUUCACAGGUAAAAAUAUUUCUUCCCCUCUCAUUAAAGAUAAUUUUUCUGGUCA